UUCCUGCCCUGCUCUGCUCUGAACCUAGAACUGUCUCCCGAGUCUCUCUCUUACUGGUCAGGCCCUGCUGUGAUAAGAUUAAUAUCCCCGAGUGCUGCUUUACACCCAUGGAAGCUGCUGCAAUGCCUGAAGACUCAAUAUUUUACUGCUGUCUCUUCCAAGCAGCCCAGAUAUUCCUUCUUUUUUCUGGUAGUUGGGUUUAUAUUCAUAUGAAGACUGCUGUCUAGCAACUGUUAGCAUAAGAGAGCUGAGGUAUGAUCUCCAGAAAUAACCUCUGAAACUGAAAUUUGCUGUGCAUUUGAGCCACCUCCAUCACCAAAAGAAAGCACUUAAGGAAAUGGUUUCAGGGAAUGCCAAACACAAGAAGACAUAGAGACAAGAGGAUUUGUGCUGAAUGAAGACCAGACUGAAAGCCACUGAAGCACAGUUCUCCACAAUAAUAGCUGUGUGUACCUGACAUCAUAAAGUGUUUGUGUCAACCAUAUUGUCUCAUUUUUUCAGCUGUGAAAGAAAGCAUAGAUUUUUCAAGAGUUUACAAAUCAAUAGUCAAGAGACAUUUCCAUUCAGAAAUGCCAAUAAAAUAGCCUAACAUCUA